rnacentral:rRNA from 1 species
GCUAGUAAUCGCGGAUCAGCAUGCCGCGGUGAAUACGUUCCCGGGCCUUGUACACACCGCCCGUCACACCAUGGGAGUCGGUAACACCCGAAGCCUGUAGUCUAACCGCAAGGAGGACGCAGUCGAAGGUGGGAUUGAUGACUGGGGUGAAGUCGUAACAAGGUACC